ACAGAGGGUGCGAGCGUUGUUCGGAAUCAUUGGGCGUAAAGCGCUUGUAGGCGGUCUGUUAAGUCCUGUGUGAAAGCCCUUGGCUUAACCGGGGAACUGCGUCCGAUACUGGAUGGCUUGAGUUCGGGAGAGGGAUGCGGAAUUCCAGGUGUAGCGGUGAAAUGCGUAGAUAUCUGGAGGAACACCGGUGGCGAAGGCGGCAUCCUGGACCGACACUGACGCUGAGGAGCGAAAGCCAGGGGAGCAAACGGGA
rnacentral:rRNA from 1 species